UACAGAGGUCCCAAGCGUUGUUCGGAUUCAUUGGGCGUAAAGGGUGCGUAGGCGGCGCGGUAAGUCGGGUGUGAAAUCUCGGGGCUUAACUCCGAAACUGCAUUCGAAACUUCUGAGCUGGAGUUCUGGAGAGGAAGGCGGAAUUCUCGGUGUAGAGGUGAAAUUCGUAGAUAUCGAGAGGAACACCGGUGGCGAAGGCGGCCUUCUGGACAGUGACUGACGCUGAGACGCGAAAGCGUGGGGAGCAAACAGG
rnacentral:rRNA from 1 species